rnacentral:rRNA from 2 species
UCAGGACGACGCUGGCGGCGUGCUUAACACAUGCAAGUCGAACGGUGAAGCCCAGCUUGCUGGGUGGAUCAGUGGCGAACGGGUGAGUAACACGUGAGCAAUCUGCCCUCCACUUCGGGAUAAGCCUUGGAAACGGGGUCUAAUACUGGAUAUGAGCCUGUGCCGCAUGGUGUGGGUUGGAAAGUUUUUCGGUGGGGGAUGAGCUCGCGGCCUAUCAGCUUGUUGGUGGGGUAAUGGCCUACCAAGGCGUCGACGGGUAGCCGGCCUGAGAGGGCGACCGGCCACACUGGGACUGAGACACGGCCCAGACUCCUACGGGAGGCAGCAGUGGGGAAUAUUGCACAAUGGGCGAAAGCCUGAUGCAGCGACGCCGCGUGAGGGAUGACGGCCUUCGGGUUGUAAACCUCUUUCAGCAGGGAAGAAGCGCAAGUGACGGUACCUGCAGAAGAAGCGCCGGCUAACUACGUGCCAGCAGCCGCGGUAAUACGUAGGGCGCAAGCGUUGUCCGGAAUUAUUGGGCGUAAAGAGCUCGUAGGCGGUCUGUCGCGUCUGGUGUGAAAUCCCGAGGCUCAACCUCGGGCUUGCAUCGGGUACGGGCAGACUAGAGUGCGGUAGGGGAGACUGGAAUUCCUGGUGUAGCGGUGGAAUGCGCAGAUAUCAGGAGGAACACCGAUGGCGAAGGCAGGUCUCUGGGCCGCAACUGACGCUGAGGAGCGAAAGCAUGGGGAGCGAACAGGAUUAGAUACCCUGGUAGUCCAUGCCGUAAACGUUGGGCACUAGGUGUGGGGCUCAUUCCACGAGUUCCGUGCCGCAGCUAACGCAUUAA